rnacentral:rRNA from 1 species
GACGAACGCUGGCGGCGUGCUUAACACAUGCAAGUCGAACGGAAAGGCCCUGCUUUUGUGGGGUGCUCGAGUGACGAACGGGUGAGUAACACGUGAGUAACCUGCCCUUGACUUUGGGAUAACUUCAGGAAACUGGGGCUAAUACCGGAUAGGAGCUCCUGCUGCAUGGUGGGGGUUGGAAAGUUUCGGCGGUUGGGGAUGGACUCGCGGCUUAUCAGCUUGUUGGUGGGGUAGUGGCUUACCAAGGCUUUGACGGGUAGCCGGCCUGAGAGGGUGACCGGCCACAUUGGGACUGAGAUACGGCCCAGACUCCUACGGGAGGCAGCAGUGGGGAAUAUUGCACAAUGGGCGGAAGCCUGAUGCAGCAACGCCGCGUGCGGGAUGACGGCCUUCGGGUUGCAAACCGCUUUCGCCUGUGACGAAGCGUGAGUGACGGUAAUGGGUAAAGAAGCACCGGCUAACUACGUG